rnacentral:rRNA from 1 species
UACGUAGGGUGCAAGCGUUGUCCGGAAUUAUUGGGCGUAAAGAGCUCGUAGGCGGUCUGUCACGUCGGCUGUGAAAUCCCGAGGCUCAACCUCGGGUCUGCAGUCGAUACGGGCAAACUAGAGUAUUGCAGGGGAGACUGGAAUUCCUGGUGUAGCGGUGAAAUGCGUAGAGAUCGGGAGGAACACCCGUAGCGAAGGCGGCCGACUGGACCACACCUGACGCUGAGGCGCGAAGGCCAGGGGAGCGAACGGG